rnacentral:rRNA from 1 species
AUUGAACGCUGGCGGCAGGCCUAACACAUGCAAGUCGAACGGUAACAGGAAACAGCUUGCUGUUUCGCUGACGAGUGGCGGACGGGUGAGUAAUGUCUGGGAAACUGCCUGAUGGAGUGGGAUAACUACUGGAAACGGUAGCUAAUACCGCAUAACGUCGCAAGACCAAAGAGGGGGACCUUCGGGCCUCUUGCCAUCGGAUGUGCCCAGAUGGGAUUAGCUAGUAGGUGGGGUAACGGCUCACCUAGGCGACGAUCCCUAGCUGGUCUGAGAGGAUGACCAGCCACACUGGAACUGAGACACGGUCCAGACUCCUACGGGAGGCAGCAGUGGGGAAUAUUGCACAAUGGGCGCAAGCCUGAUGCAGCCAUGCCGCGUGUAUGAAGAAGGCCUUCGGGUUGUAAAGUACUUUCAGCGGGGAUGAAGGGAGUAAAGUUAAUACCUUUGCUCAUUGACGUUACCCGCAGAAGAAGCACCGGCUAACUCCGUG